GAUGAACGCUGGCGGCGUGCCUAAUACAUGCAAGUCGAGCGAACAGACGAGGAGCUUGCUCCUCUGACGUUAGCGGCGGACGGGUGAGUAACACGUGGAUAACCUACCUAUAAGACUGGGAUAACUUCGGGAAACCGGAGCUAAUACCGGAUAAUAUAUUGAACCGCAUGGUUCAAUAGUGAAAGACGGUUUUGCUGUCACUUAUAGAUGGAUCCGCGCCGCAUUAGCUAGUUGGUAAGGUAACGGGUUACCAAGGCAACGAUGCGUAGCCGACCUGAGAGGGGGAUCGGCCACACUGGAGCUGAGACACGGUCCAGGCUCCUACGGGAGGCACCAGUAGGGAAUCUUCCGCAAUGGGCGAAAGCAUGACGGAGCAACGCGGCGUGAGAGAUGAAGGUCUUCGGAUCGUAAAACUCUGUUAUUAGUGAAGAACAAAUGUGUAAGUAACUAUGCACGUCUUGACGGUACCUAAUCAGAAAGCCACGGCUAACUACGUG
rnacentral:rRNA from 1 species